rnacentral:lncRNA from 1 species
AACCGACAAAACAGUUUCUUUGUGCUGUAUACUGAUUUUAAAAUAUAGUGUUAUUUGCUAUGGUCCGUACAUGUCGGUUCUUGCUUCUGGCUAUCCUUGCAAGGCUAUCCAAUCGCUUACCUAUUCAUAGAUGACAUUAUUUAAAUGGAAUAGAAUCAUUAUCAUUAUUGAUACUAUAUCUAUAGUCAUUAUUAAAUAAUGGAAAAUCUAAUGCUAUUAUUUUUGGUAAAGAAUCUAACAUUAUUAUUAGUUCACAUCAAACUUUAAAAAGGGUGGACAUGCGAGGAACCUACCAUUGCAGCUACCAAUGCGAAGCUGG